rnacentral:rRNA from 1 species
UACGUAGGGUGCGAGCGUUAAUCGGAAUUACUGGGCGUAAAGUGUGCGCAGGCGGCCGCGCAAGUCGAGUGUGAAAGCCCCGGGCUUAACUUGGGAAUUGCGCUCGAAACUACGUGGCUGGAGUGUGGCAGAGGAAGGUGGAAUUCCAGGUGUAGCGGUGAAAUGCGUAGAUAUCGAGAGGAACACCUGCGGCGAAGGCGGGUAGCUGGGCCGACACUGACGCUGAGGCGCGAAAGCCAGGGGAGCGAACGGG